GGUUCGAUCAUGGCUCAGAUUGAACGCUGGCGGGAUGCUUUACAUGCAAGUCAGACGGCUUUGGACAGUCUGGUGGCGAGUGGCGAACGGGUGAGUAAUGUAUCGGAACGUGCCUAGUAGCGGGGAUAACUACGCAGCGUAAGCUGUCACCACAUACGCCCUUCGGGGAAAGCGGGGGACCUUCGGGCCUCGCACUAUUAAACGGCUGAUAUCGGAUUAGCUAGUUGGUGGGGUAACGGCUCACCAAGGCGACGAUCCGUAGCUGGUUUGAGAGGACGACAAGCACACUGGGACUGAGACACGGCCCAGACUCCUACAGGCAGCAGUGGGGAGUUUUGGACAAUGGAAACCUGGUCAGCCAUCCCGCGUGUACGAUGAGGCCUUCCGGGUUUGUAAAGCACUUUUGGCAGGAAAGAAACGGCACGGGAUAAUACCCCGUGCACAGCUGACCGAACCUACAGAAUAAGCACCGGCUAACUACGUGCCAACAGCCGCGGUAAUACGGAGGGUGCGGCGUUAAUCGAUUACUGGGCGUAAAGCGCGCGUAGGUGGCUUGAUAAGCCGGUUGGCGAAAGCCCGGGCUCAACCUGGGAACGGCAUCCGGAACUGUCAGGCUAGAGUGCAGGAGAGGAAGGUAGAAUUCCCGGUGUAGCGGUGAAAUGCGUAAAGAUCGGGAGGAAUACCAGUGGCGAAGGCGGCCUUCUGGACUGACACUGACACUGAGGUGCGAAAGCGUGGGUAGCAAACAGGAUUAGAUACCUGUGCAAUUACCGCCAUCGCGCGAUAUAAACUAGCCGUUGGGAGCCUCGAGUUCUUAGUGGCGCAGUUAACGCGAUAAGUCGACCGCCUGAAGUACGGCCGCAAGUUCAAAAACUCAAAUGGAGUGACGGGGGCCCGCACAAGCGGUGGGCAUCUGGUUCAGUUUCGAUGCAACGCGAACCAUACCUACACCGACGCAUCGUGAACUUUUUCAGAGAUGGAUUGGUGCCUUCGGGAGCGCUGAACAGGUGCUGCAUGGCUGUCGUCAGCUCGUGUUGUGAAAUGUUGGGUUAAGUCCGUAACGGGCGCAACCCCUGUCCCUAUUUGCCAGCGAUUCGGUCGGGAACUCUGGGAGACUGCCGGUGACAAACCGGAGGAAGGUGGGACGACAAUCAGUCAUCCUUGGCCCUUACGGGUAGGGCUACACGUGCUGUGUAAGCAGGGUACGAGGUUUGCAAGACGGCGACGUGGAGCUAAUCCCAUAAGAGAGCCUGCCUCAGUCGGAUCGGAGUCUGCAACUCGACUCCGUGAAGUCUGAAUCGCUAGUAAUCGUGAAUCAGAAUGUGCAGUGCUGAAUACGUUCCCGGGCCUUAUACCACACCGUCAUGUAAGUGGACUGCACCAGAAGUGGUUAGCUUAACCUUCAGGGCGUCACCGGUGUGGUUCAUGACUGGGGUGAAGUCGUAACAAGGUAACCCGAGAGAACAG
rnacentral:rRNA from 1 species